rnacentral:rRNA from 1 species
AAAGAGCUCGUAGGCGGUCUGUCGCGUCGAAUGUGAAAAUCCGAGGCUCAACCUCGGACCUGCAUUCGAUACGGGCAGACUAGAGUUCGGUAGGGGAGUCUGGAAUUCCUGGUGUAGCGGUGAAAUGCGCAGAUAUCAGGAGGAACACCGGUGGCGAAGGCGGGACUCUGGGCCGAUACUGACGCUGAGGAGCGAAAGCGUGGGGAGCAAACAGGAUUAGAUACCCGAGU